rnacentral:rRNA from 1 species
UACGGGGGGGGCAAGCGUUGUUCGGAAUUACUGGGCGUAAAGGGCUCGUAGGCGGCCAACUAAGUCAGACGUGAAAUCCCUCAGCUUAACUGGGGAACUGCGUCUGAUACUGGAUGGCUUGGAUUCGGGAGAGGAAUGCGGAAUUCCAGGUGUAGCGGUGAAAUGCGUAGAUAUCUGGAGGAACACCGGUGGCGAAGGCGGCAUUCUGGACCGAUAUUGACGCUGAGGAGCGAAAGCCAGGGGAGCAAACGGG